GAGAGUACCAUUUUGGACCCAGUAACUGAAAAAGCAAUAGCAGUUUAGUUUUAUACAGUUUGAUGCUUCACCAGAUAUUUCACAACAGAAGAGACAGCAAUUCUCUAAUUGAUAAACUAUAGGAGAUCAUAUAAUACUGCCGAAGAACAAGCAGGGAAGAAAAUUCAAGAGAGUAGAGAGACAAGAGAAACAAACUCCAAGGUGACUCGGCCUUUGGACCUGGUGUU
rnacentral:lncRNA from 1 species